rnacentral:rRNA from 1 species
AAUCAACGCUGGCGGCGUGCUUCAGACAUGCAAGUCGAACGAUUAAAGCUCUCUUCGGAGAGUGCAUAGAGUGGCGCACGGGUGAGUAACACGUAAGUAAUCUACCUUCGAGUGGGGAAUAACGUCCGGAAACGGACGCUAAUACCGCAUAAUGCAGCGGCAUCGCAAGAUGACAGUUGUUAAAGGAGCAAUCCGCUUGAAGAGGAGCUUGCGGCAGAUUAGCUUGUUGGUAAGGUAACGGCUUACCAAGGCUACGAUCUGUAUCCGGUCUAAGAGGACGGUCGGACACACUGACAC